GAUGAACGCUGGCGGCGUGCCUAAUACAUGCAAGUCGAGCGAACAGACGAGGAGCUUGCUCCUUUGACGUUAGCGGCGGACGGGUGAGUAACACGUAGGUAACCUACCUAUAAGACUGGGAUAACUUCGGGAAACCGGAGCUAAUACCGGAUAAUAUUUCGAACCGCAUGGUUCGAUAGUGAAAGAUGGCUUUGCUAGCACUUAUAGAUGGACCUGCGCCGUAUUAGGUAGUUGGUAAGGUAACGGCUUACCAAGGCAACGAUACGUAGCCGACCUGAGAGGGUGAUCGGCCACACUGGAACUGAGACACGUACCAGACUCCUGCGGGAGGCAGCAGUAGGGAAUCUUCCGCAAUGGGCGAAAACCUGACGGAGCAACGCCGCGUGAGUGAUGAAGGUCUUCGGAUCGUAAAACUCUGUUAUUAGGGAAGAACAAACGUGUAAGUAACUGUGCACGUCUUGACGGUACCUAAUCAGAAAGCCACGGCUAACUACGUG
rnacentral:rRNA from 1 species